rnacentral:rRNA from 1 species
CAGUAGCCACGGUAAUACGGAGGAUCCAAGCGUUAUCCGGAAUCAUUGGGUUUAAAGGGUCCGUAGGCGGUCUUGUAAGUCAGUGGUGAAAGCCCAUCGCUCAACGGUGGAACGGCCAUUGAUACUGCAGGACUUGAAUUAUUGAGAAGUAACUAGAAUAUGUAGUGUAGCGGUGAAAUGCUUAGAGAUUACAUGGAAUACCAAUUGCGAAGGCAGGUUACUACCAAUUGAUUGACGCUGAUGGACGAAAGCGUGGGUAGCGAACAGGAUUAGAUACCCGGGUAGUCCCUGUCUCUUAUAC